rnacentral:lncRNA from 1 species
UUCUUGUUUAAGGCCAGAUGCAGCCCUAUGGGUGUGGAAUGUUCUUGCUGUGUUGAAGACCCAUUGGUGGCCUUGGUCUUUUUUCUGCUCUUUGGUCGGAUUGUGGUCUCUGAUACAUUCCCUGUUUCCAUUCUCCAUUUUAUUAUACUAAUGUAAAAGGAGAAGGAGAUACAUCUUUUGAAUUUUUGAGUAUGCCCACCUUACAGGGGGUAGUUUUACAGGAACUCUCAUAAACUUCAAUUACUGAUAAAAUAGAGGUUAAUAAAAUGCUUGGCUUGAAGCUUGCAGAGGUCAAAAC